rnacentral:rRNA from 1 species
UGCCAGCAGCCGCGGUAAUACGGAGGGUGCAAGCGUUGCUCGGAAUCACUGGGCGUAAAGCGUACGCAGGCGGUUCAUUAAGUCGGGUGUGAAAGCCCAGGGCUCAACCCUGGAACUGCGCCCGAUACUGGUGGACUUGAAUACGAGAGAGGCAAGCGGAAUUCCUGGUGGAGAGGUGAAAUUCGUAGAUAUCAGGAGGAACACCAGUGGCGAAAGCGGCUUGCUGGCUCGAUAUUGACGCUCAGGUACGAAAGCGUGGGGAGCAAACAGGAUUAGAUA